GUUGGCUGGGAGGCGGUCACGUGGCGCAGGAUGCACCCAACACCACCGUCGCAAGCAGAGUCCCGCCCCGCCAGGCGACGUCACGUGACGCACAUUCGCUCAAGUCCACAUCCGGGCAUCCACCAGGCCCUGGGGAGGAGCCUGCGGUCGGGUCUAGGCGACCUGCCGGGACUUUCUAAUCAGAGUCGUGGGGAUUUUACGGGUGGAGUUACUCCGAAACCUUUAAGGCCAAGUGUGAUAGGUAGUUCAGAGCUUCCUGUUUCUUUAGUCUGACAGCUUCAAAUGUCCCGGGUUGUGCUCAAAGCCUCCCUCUUGUGAGAAGAAUCUCUUUGGUUGCCUGUUAAAGCGGUCAGCCAGCUUGCAACACGGAAGCAGCUUUUAGAGGAAUUAAAACCAAAACAAGGAGCAAAUUCUGGAUUAAAAAGAUAUUUGCAACCAUUCUUCCAAUCAAUUUUAGAAAAUUUCCACCACCUCAAAAAGAAACCCUGAUGAAGAAACAUCCUGAGAAGGUUGACAUGCUGAAUGCCUUAAAGAACUUCAAUUGAGAUGCCAGAUGAAAGUGUAACUAGAAUUUCUAUGGCUUAAAUAACGAGAUCCAAGGAGAUUUCUGAGAAGUCCUACUUGGGAUGAAAAGAUGGAUUUACAUAAUAAAAUAUAAUUUAUAAAGAUAAUUUGAACAUAAAGUACAUCACAAGACUAUCUUUCCUAGAGUUGGAAGAUGAAUUUGGCUGGAGUGCAGUAGCAUGAUCACGGCUCACUGCUGCCUCGACCUCCCGGGCUCAGAGAUUCUCCUACCUCAGCCUCCUGAGUAGCUGGGACCACAG